CUCGAGGAAAACACUGCUCACAACUGGCUUGCAUUUCUCAGCACUAAGCACUGAUGUCACCGUAACCGAUGCCUGCGGUAAACAGCCGCCACCUUAGAGCUCACAGGCUGUGUGCGGGGCUGCAGACGCCUUCCUUCAACUUCAGUGGUAUAUUCCUCAAAGCCCGCCCCGAGGGACCAGGGAGAAGCUGAUUGGUUGAGAACCUUGGACGGGGGCGAGGAACCGCACGAAAUGACCAAUGGAAAAGCAUGGUGGGCACUUCAAAGCCGGCCAGAAAGGGAGGAGAGAGGAUGCGAUUAAAGGGCACGUUAUUUGUUGCGCUCUGUAGCCGCCGCACAACACAAAUGGAAUUUUCUAUCUGAUCCAAUCCAGACAGGAAACAAAGAGAUUGGGGAUUCUCAAAUUUUGGAGUUAAGAGAACGAAAAGAAAAUAUGGAGAGAACUGAAGAAGAUAUCUGCGUGUGCCUUUCCCCCGUCCCGUUGUCAGUUGUCUCAUCUAAUCCAAUAAGGAUAUUGGAGUAGAAUUGA